rnacentral:tRNA from 1 species
GUAGUGGUAGUUUAGUGGUAGAAUUCCCACCUUCCAUGCGGGAGAUCCAGGUUUGAUUCCCAGCCAAUUAUA